UGGGGAAUUUUGGACAAUGGGCGAAAGCCUGAUCCAGCAAUGCCGCGUGUGUGAAGAAGGCCUUCGGGUUGUAAAGCACUUUUGUCCGGAAAGAAAUCCUUGCUCUAGUACGCUCGGGGGAUGACGGUACCGGAAGAAUAAGCACCGGCUAACUACGUGCCAGCAGCCGCGGUAAUACGUAGGGUGCAAGCGUUAAUCGGAAUUACUGGGCGUAAAGCGUGCGCAGGCGGUUUGCUAAGACCGAUGUGAAAUCCCCGGGCUAACCUGGGAACUGCAUUGUGACUGGCAAGGCUAGAGUAUGGCAGAGGGGGGUAGAAUUCCACGUGUAGCAGUGAAAUGCGUAGAGAUGUGGAGGAAUACCGAUGGCGAAGGCAGCCCCCUGGGCCAAAUACUGACGCUCAUGCACGAAAAGCGUGGGGAGCAAAACAGGAUUAGAUACCCUGGUAGUCCACGCCCUAAAACGAUGUCAACUAGUUGUUGGGGAUUCAUUUCCUUAGUAACGUAGCUAACGCGUGAAGUUGACCGCCUGGGGAGUACGGUCGCAAGAUUAAAAACUCAAAGGAAUUGACGGGGUCAUAGCUGUUUCCU
rnacentral:rRNA from 1 species